CCGCCAUUGCCGUCGACCGCCGGCCGGAGUCCCGCGACCCAAUCCUAACGCGCGGGAACUCAUUCAUCAUCUUGCCAUCGUGCGUUCCGAGCUCGGCAUGUUGAUCCACUCCCGUCGUCAUUGCCCACAGGAGCUUCUUCGAUGGUGUAGCAUUUGGGCGGAUCCGGCACGGCAGCCCACUUUGAUCCAGCUGCACGCGAUGUGCGGUAGAAGCAUCCCCAGGCCCUUGCCCAGCAAUCUGCUCUUCUGAUGGAUGAGAUAGUACAUGAAUUUUGGCUGACGAUUGUUGCAAUCAUGGAGUUGCAGGAUAUUUUUCCUAUUUCCCAUUUGAUUCCAUGAAGCAGCACACCAGGGUGUGGAAAUCCAAGUUCCAGGGUACAGGUUCCUCUAGCUCAGGUACGACAGGCCUGUGAAGCAGUAGUGCAAGACAGUUCAUGUCAGCUCACCUUGCAGCGGUCGCAGCAGCCACGUCUCCAAGGGAUGGAACCUGGCAGCUCAUCUGCUGCACCAGGAUCAGUGCCACCCCGUCCAAGGGAGCCCAUCCGCCAUGCCCGUAAUGUGUUUGACAAAAUGCUCAGGAGGGCAAGUAGUGCUGUGAUAUUUUGACAGAAGAUUUUGCAGUAUCGUUCCUUUC